AAUGCUUGCCUAGAUAAUGCUGAGUGCAAAAUAAAGAAAUACUACGUGUGCCCGUGGCACUGAUGAUCUCAGUUGGUGAAAUACAGGCACAGGGUGGCCCAGAUAAUAGUAUGACGAAUAGAACUACUUCACCGUCUGUUGAGCCCUCAGUCCUACUCAGAGCUGCUUUUUCUCUGUUAAAAGAUGUUUUGUCCUGUUAUGUUAAGUCAUCUUGACAUACUGCCAUGAAAUGGAAAUAACUGCUAGUUUUAACUUUGCUCCGUAUCAUUAUUAAAAGAGUCAUCAAUCUCAUGAGAGUCAUCUUGCCAUCUGUACCAGCGUUGCUCCAGGCUUCCAUAUGAAAGUCCAAUCUGGCGGUAUAAAUACUGGAUAAUGAAGAGUAGGUGUUAAAGUUUCUGACUGGAAGAAGAGUCUGUGUCUAGGAAGGAUCUGAAUUUGUGUGUUAAACAAACAGAAUCUAUGUUAACACGGAGUCCAACCAGAAAUAACAUGCGUGUUUGUCCUCCUGCCUUCUCUCACAAUCCAUGCCUGUUUCUAAAUUAUUUUCUUCAGCUUCUCUGUUUAGGAGAGAACACCCAAGAUCCAGGAGAAAAAUGUUCUCUGGCCAUCCUUUUACACUUUGGAGAUUACAAACAGGGGCAAGAUGUUGACUUCCUGUAACGUAGGGUUCUUUUUUCCCUCGCUCUCCUUUUGCUCCCAGAAAGCUAUAACUACAUAGAUUAGCAAAACUUUUGCAAGAAUGGAUGUAAAACAGAUUUAUCUCAGUGUCAGCUUUAUCUGAUCCAUUCGGUCUUGCAGAGUUUGGAUGGUUUCCUUUGUUACAAUAACCAGCUUUCAAACAUCUAUAUCCUUAGGGUAUUAAAUGUCAGCCUCUAGUGUACCGUUCAAGGAUAAAAGAUUGACAAUACUGAAGUACUCUUUUUCUUUUUCUUUUUUUUCCCUUUCCAGCACUAGCAGAGUCUUUACACUGCACACCACUGCUGACCCCAGAAAUGACCCACAGGAACUACUGGCGAAAGGAGCGAAAAGGUUGGCAUCAGAACUGAAGAAGAUCAGGGAUCAGCCAACCUCUUUAACUGUGGUGAGCAGAACUGAUGUGCCUUGGAUACAGCAAACAAAAACUGGAGGCCAGAAAGAUGCCAUUUCCUUUUUCCUCUCCUACUGACCUAGCCAUUAGGACUGCACUGCUCACUCAGGUAUUCUCAGCUGA
rnacentral:lncRNA from 1 species